rnacentral:tRNA from 1 species
CAACAAAUAUUUUAUUAAAAAUUUAAUUUUUGGGUAAUUAAGAUAGGAUUUUAUUCUUUUGUUGA